AUUUCUCUGAGAUGUUUGCAAGCGGGCCAGUCCCCUGAGCCGAUAUUUCAUACCACAAGAAUGUAGCGCUCCGCGGUUGGUGAGCAUGCUCGGUUCGUCCGAGAAGCCUUAAAACUGUGACGACACAUUCACCUUGAACCAAGGGUUCAAGGGUUACAGCCUGCGGCGGCAUCUCGGAGAUUCC
rnacentral:other from 2 species